AUCCUUUUGUAGUUCAUAAGUGUGGUGAUUGGAUGUUCAUGCUCUUGUGUGAGAUGUGCCUCCCACAAACCUUGUUAGGACAUCGGCACAUUACCCGUCUGACG
rnacentral:snoRNA from 1 species